GAUGAACGCUAGCGGCAGGCUUAACACAUGCAAGUCGAGGGGCAGCACGGACUUCGGUCUGGUGGCGACCGGCAAACGGGUGCGGAACACGUACACAAUCUACCUUUAUCUGGGGUAUAGCCCGAAGAAAUUCGGAUUAAUCCCCCAUAAGAUAUUAGAGUGGCAUCACUUAGAUAUUAAAACUCCGGUGGAUAAAGAUGAGUGUGCGUCCCAUUAGCUAGUUGGUAGGGUAACGGCCUACCAAGGCAACGAUGGGUAGCUGGUGGGAGAGCACGACCAGCCACACGGGCACUGGGACACGGGCCCGACUCCUACGGGAGGCAGCAGUGAGGAAUAUUGGUCAAUGGACGCAAGUCUGAACCAGCCAUGCCGCGUGAAGGAUGAAGGCCUUCUGGGUUGUAAACUUCUUUUAUUGGGGAAGAAAAUUACGGUUUCUACUGUAACCGACGGUACCCAAGGAAUAAGCACCGGCUAACUCCGUGCCAGCAGCCGCAGUAAUAC
rnacentral:rRNA from 1 species